rnacentral:rRNA from 1 species
UACGUAGGGACCAAGCGUUGGUCGGAUUUACUGGGCGUAAAGGGCGCGUAGGCGGCAAUUCAAGUCAUCUGUGAAAUCUCCGGGCUUAACCCGGAACGGUCAGAUGAUACUGCUUUGCUAGAGUGCGGAAGGGGCAAUCGGAAUUCUUGGUGUAGCGGUGAAAUGCGUAGAUAUCAAGAGGAACACCUGAGGUGAAGACGGGUUGCUGGGCCGACACUGACGCUGACAGCGCGAAAGCCAGGGGAGCAAACGGG